rnacentral:rRNA from 1 species
AGAGUUUGAUCAUGGCUCAGAACGAACGCUGGCGGCAUGCCUAACACAUGCAAGUCGAACGAGACCUUCGGGUCUAGUGGCGCACGGGUGCGUAACGCGUGGGAAUCUGCCCUUAGGUUCGGAAUAACUCAGGGAAACUUGAGCUAAUACCGGAUAAUGACGUAAGUCCAAAGAUUUAUCGCCUAGGGAUGAGCCCGCGUAAGAUUAGCUAGUUGGUGAGGUAAAGGCUCACCAAGGCUACGAUCUUUAGCUGGUCUGAGAGGAUGAUCAGCCACACUGGGACUGAGACACGGCCCAGACUCCUACGGGAGGCAGCAGUGGGGAAUAUUGGACAAUGGGCGAAAGCCUGAUCCAGCAAUGCCGCGUGAGUGAUGAAGGCCUUAGGGUUGUAAAGCUCUUUUACCCGGGAUGAUAAUGACAGUACCGGGAGAAUAAGCUCCGGCUAACUCCGUGCCAGCAGCCGCGGUAAUACGGAGGGAGCUAGCGUUGUUCGGAAUUACUGGGCGUAAAGCGCACGUAGGCGGCUUUGUAAGUUAGAGGUGAAAGCCCGGGGCUCAACUCCGGAACUGCCUUUAAGACUGCAUCGCUUGAAUCCAGGAGAGGUGAGUGGAAUUCCGAGUGUAGAGGUGAAAUUCGUAGAUAUCUGGAGGAACACCGGUGGCGAAGGCGGCCUUCUGGCCUCUUACUGACGCUGAGGCGCGAAAGCGUGGGGAGCGAACGGGAUUAGAUACCCCCGUAGUCC